UCCAGGCAAAAAAGGGCAUCCCGGCGAACCAAAAAAAAAAUGAAUGAAAAGGUUCGGGCAAAAGUUAGGGGUAAAGAAUAAAAAUAAUAUGUACACCCGGUAAGUCGAAAACCUGCAAAGGCGACUUAGGCAAAAAUGGGUAUCCCGGUGGAUUGAAAACUUGAAAAGGCGGUCCAGGAAAAAGAGGGAUUAAAGCGAAGACUACAGUCUG
rnacentral:lncRNA from 1 species